rnacentral:rRNA from 1 species
UGGAAUAUUGGACAAUGGGGGCAACCUCGUUCCACACACGCGGCGUGCAGGAGAAGGCCCCUAUGUGUUGUAAAAUGUUUUUGCACAGGAAAAAACGCCCCCCUGCGUGCGGGUUUGACGGUACCGUGAGAAUAAAAAUAUGCUAACUCAGUGCCAGCACCCGCGGUAAUAUAGAGGGUACGAGCGUGAUCUCGAAUCAUUUUGUUUAAAGAGUCCGUGGGCGGGGGGGUAAGUCAGUGGGGAAAGUAUGUACCUCACUUAUCUAAUUGCCGUCGAAAUAGAUUUUCUUGAGUUGUUGUGAAAUGGCCGGAAUAUGUAGUGUGGCGGUGAAAUGCAUAGAUAUUUCAUAGAACACACAUUGGGAGGGCAGGCGGCUAACGACACACAGACGCUGAUGGACGCAAGAGUGGGUGGGGAGCACACUUAGAUACCCCCCUAGUCCACGCCCUAAACGAAAGUCACUAGCUGUCCGUCCCCACAAGUUGGCUGGGGUCCAAGCGAAAGUGAUAAG